AUUUUUCUCUUCUCCUUCACCGAAAUAUGCAGCAAAGAAAGGGCUUUGAAGCUGGAAAAAUUUCAGCAAAUAUUUCCCUUGCUUGUAAGUGAUUUUAAUGUCUUUGCUUGAUGAUUUUUACAUUUUUGGAACCCAUAAAGCAUGAGCUUUCAUAUGAGGGGUCUAUUUUGCAAAAUGAUGAAGAGUCUAGGGUUUUGCCAUGAGAGUAAAUGUGUUAUUUGCUGUGUUUUUAUGGAAGAUUAUGAGUCCUAGUUGUCUAAUAAACAACUUUUGUGAAAGAAAUUGCAUGAAAACACCUUAAAAAGGGCUAGAUUGCUAAGUUGUAAAAUGAGUUGUAAAUGUGUGAAAUAGUUGAAAUUAUGAGUUGCUAUAGUUAUGAAAAUGGUUCAUCUAGACUCAAGGAGUAAAGAAAUGUGAUAAAAAUUAUUUUACGAGCCUAGGGGUAAUUUGGUAAUUUUGGCAAAAUAUAGGGGCAAAAUUGUAAAAAUUUCCCAAGUGUGUCAAUUGACUAAUUUGAUCAGUACAUUGUUUUAAUAAGUUGAAUGUGAUAUUUUAGAUGAUGAAAAUCGAGAUUUGGACCUAGAACGGAAAGAAAUCGAUUAAGGGAUAAUUACGUCUUUUUUUCACCUUUGUGGUAUCGAGGUAAGUUCAUGUGUAAAUAAUGUAGAAUAAUUGUUAUUUUUAAGUUAUUGAUGUUAAAUAUAUGAUAUGCUGAUUUUUAUCAUGAAAUAUAUGCUUUGUGGUUAUUUUCGAAUAAAAUGCAAGUUAUGUGUAUUAUCUGUUAAAUAUAAAGUGCUAUCGAGUAUUGGUUUCGGUAUUUUACGGAAGAUGGCAAGGAUAUGUGUUCGAGGAAAAUCCCGUUUGAACCUUAGGAAUAGAUUAGGAUACAAGUGACAUGUCACUAGGAUGGUUGAGCAUCCGAACUCGUUGAGUUGAGUCUGAGUUCACUUAUGGAUGCGAAUGUUCGAACUCGUUGAGUUGAGGCCGAGUUCGUGAGAUGUAACUAGGCAUCCGAGCUCGUUGAGUUGAGUCCGAGUUCACUUAUGGAUGCGAAUGCCCAAGCUUGUUGAGUUGAGUCCGAGUUCACUUAUGGGCGGGUUACAUGGUAGCUUGGCUACAUAUGUGGCACUUAUGUGCAAACUUUCCAUAUAUCCGAAUUAUAUUCCGAUGUGUUCAACGGGUAAAAUUCUACUCAAAUGGAGGAAUACUCGAGAUGAAAGGGACGUAUUAGUAAAUGUUGUGAAAUGGAUACUUUGAACAGGUAUGUACUUAACCCUUUGGUUGAAAACUCGACAUAACAACAAUAUGGUAAGAUGGUAAAUGAAAAUGUGAUAUGAAUGUCUCGGUGAUGAUUAUACAAACGAUGUUGUAUUAAUUUUGUGAACAAUGAUCAUGAAUGAGUAAUUUAGCCUUGACAGAUUUGAGUUACUGCAGUAGUGUAACUUUGAAAAUACACUAAAAAUAGUGGAAAAUGAGUUAGAGGCAGAAUAAAAUAUGAGAUUAAAGCUUCAUGAGUCUAUUUUCACAUGAAAGAAACAGGGGAAGAAACAGGGGAAGAAAAAGAAUUCCAUAUUGUGUGAUAUAUGAAUUCUUGUUAAACAGGGUCUGAAUGAAUUCGAGAUCCCCUAUCCUGACUUUAGAAAUUCACCAAAAAUUGUACAAAAAUUAUUAAGAGUCAUACCUUACAUGCAUGGAUUCCUUAUUGAGUCUAUUUUUAGGGUAAAUAAAUUCCAUGGUCGUUGGAAUUUUGUACAGGGAGAAAUUCAGUUUGUAGUGCACAGGGGUCAGAGUGGCAAUACCCUAAAAUAGGGGAGACUUUAACUAAUAAACCGUACUAAUUGGCCCAACAAAAAAUUCUAGAAAAAAAUUAGUAAGUAUACAUAUGAGUCUAGUUUCAAUAUAAAUAGACAAGAACAUUAUUCGAGUCUUGUACUAUGAGAUAAUUGAACUUUAGUACAGAAGGGUCGGAACUGUCAGACAGUGAAUCACGGGUAACUUUGAGGAAUAAAAUGUACUAUUUGGCUUAACCAAAAAUUCUGAAAAUUUUAUGGAAGAAAGGAAAAUAAGUCUAGUUUCAGGGAAAAUUAAUGGAACUUAAUUCGGAGUUUCGUAGCUCCAGAUAUAAAUAAUUUAGUGAUCGUUGCUUAGAAAGACAGCUUGUAGUGAACUUGAGAAUAUGUUGUAAACAUUGAUAAAACAAGUUAAUGAGUGCUUGUUGUUUUCAUAUGAACUUACUAAGCGAAAGCUUACCCCCCUCUUCUUUCCCAUGUUUUAUAGAGUUUCCAGGUUAGCUCGGGUUGGAGGCCGUCUGUAACACCCCUCGCCCGCAUUCGACGCCAGGACGGGGUUCGAGGUGCUACCUGACUUUUACUAACACUUUCAUACUAAACAGGGUCAUAAAAUCUCAAAUAAUUAAAAACUUUUAUUUUCACAUACAAUCUGUCCCAUAUACGAGCUUACGAGGCCCAAAACAUACAUCCGGAGUGGUUCGGGACCCAACCAAGAACUCAUGAAAAACUUAGAAAAUCUCUUGCAUCAAGGCUUCAUAUGCCCGUGUGGGUAUAGAGCACACGCCCGUGUGCUAGGGACACGCCCGUGUCCCAAACCCGUGUCCAAAAACCUGGACAAAUACAAGGCUAUUUUCCAAGCCAUUUUGUCACACUCACAAUAGAUACACGCAUACUUAUACAAUAACAUACAACAUGACAAAAUUAGGUACUUAAACAUUCCUAACAUGUCAUGAUUAUGGCAAUUUCACAUGCAAUAGAUAUCAUAGAUUUUACUCUCAUCUUUACCACAUUCAUACUAUAAUCAUUAUAAACUCAUCACAUAAUAUCAUAGCACAUGCAUGCAUAAUUAAAAUAGAUUUACAACCCCAUAAUCAAAAUAGGCCAACACAUAUAGUUAAAGCCAUAUCACAUACUCUAAUAUUUAAACUCCUAUACAUGCCAUAGGCUCAAAGUACUUGAAAUCACUACACCAAUAGCGUUAGCUUGAUAGUGUAAUAAUAUCUUUGACGGCCUCCAACCCGAGCUAACCUGGAAACUCUAGAAAACAUGGGAAAGAAGAGGGGGUAAGCUUUCGCUUAGUAAGUUCAUAUGAAAACAAUAAGCACCCAUUUACUUGUUUUAUCAAUGUUUACAACAUAUUCUCAAGUUCAAUACAAGCUGUCUUUCUGAGCAACGGUCACUAAAUUAUUUAUAUCUGGAGCUACGAAACUCCAAAUUAAGUUCUGUUAAUUUUCCCUGAAACUAGACUUAUUUUCAUUUCUUCCAUAAAAUUUUCAGAAUUUUUGGUUAAGCCAAAUAGUACAGUUUAUUCCUCAAAGUUACCCCUGAUUCACUGUCUAACAGUUCUGACCCUUCUGUACUAAAGUUCAAUUAUCUCAUAGUACAAGACUCGAAUAAUGUUCUUGUCUAUUUAUCUUGAAACUAGACUCAUAUGUCUACUUACUAAUUUUUUUAUAAAAUUUUUGGUUGGGCCAAUUAGUACGGUUUAUUAGUUAAAGUCUCCCCUGUUUCAGGGUAUGACCCCUAUGCACUACAAACCAAAUUUAUCCCUGUAAAAAAUUCCAAAUACCAUGGUGUUUAUUUCCCCUAAAAAUAGACUCAAUAAGGAAUCCAUGCAUGUAAGGUAUGACUCUUAAUAAUUUUUGUACAAUUUUUGGUGAAUUUCUAAACUCAAGACAGGGGAUCUCGAAUUCACUCAGACCCUGUUUAAAAAGAAUUCAUAUAUCACACAAUAUGGAAUUCUUUUUCUUCCCCUGUUUCUUUCAUGUGAAAAUAGACUCAUGAAGCUUUAAUCCCAUAUUUUAUUCUGCCUCUAACUCAUUUUCCACUAUUUUUAGUGUAUUUUCAAAGUUACACUACUGCAGUAACUCAAAUCUGUCAAGGCUAAAUUACUCAUUCAUGAUCAUUGUUCACAAAAUUAAUACAACAUCGUUUGUAUAAUCAUCACCGAGACAUUCAUAUCACAUUUUCAUUUACCAUCUUACCAUAUUGUUGUUAUGUCGAGUUUUUAACCCGAGGGUUAAGUACAUUCCUGUUCAAAGUAUCCAUUUCACAACAUUUACCAAUACGUCCCUUUCAUCUCGAGUAUUCCUCCAUUUGAGUAGAAUUUUACCCGUUGAACACAUCGGAAUAUAAUUCGGAUACAUGGAAAGUUUGCACAUAAGUGCCACAUAUGUAGCCAAGCUACCAUGUAACCCGCCCAUAAGUGAACUCGGACUCAACUCAACGAGCUCGGGCCUUCUCAUCCAUAAGUGAACUCGGACUCAACUCAACGAGCUCAGAUGCCUAGUUACAUCUCACGAACUCGGACUCAACUCAACGAGUUCGAACAUUCGCAUCCAUAAGUGAACUCGGACUCAACUCAAUGAGUUCGGAUGCUCAACCAUCCUAGUGACAUGUCACUUGUAUCCUAAUCUAUUCCUAAGGUUCAAACGGGAUUUUCCUCGAACACAUCUCCUUGCCAUCUUCCGUAAAAUACCGAAACCAAUACUCGGUAGCACUUUAUAUUUAACAGAUAAUACACAUAACUUGCAUUUUAUUCGAAAAUAACCACAAAGCAUAUAUUUCAUGAUAGAAACCAGCAUAUCAUAUAUUUAACAUCAAUAACUUUAAAAUAACAAUUAUGCUACAUUAUUUACACAUGAACUUACCUCGAUACCACAAAGGUGAAAAAAAAGACGUAAUUAUCCCUUAAUCGAUUUCUUUCCGUUCUAGGUCCAAAUCUCGAUUUUCAUCAUCUAAAAUAUCACAUUCAACUUAUUAAAACAAUGUACUGAUCAAAUUAGUCCAUUGACACACUUGGGAAAUUUUUACAAUUUUUCCCCUAUAUUUUUCCAAAAUUACCAAAUUACCCCUAGGCUCGUAAAAUAAUUUUUAUCACAUUUCUUUACUCCUUGAGUCUAGAUGAACCAUUUUCAUAACUAUAGCAACUCAUAAUUUCAACUAUUUCACACAUUUACAACUCAUUUUACAACUUAGCAAUCUAGCCCUUUUUAAGGUGUUUUCAUGCAAUUUCUUUCACAAAAGUUGUUUAUUAGACAACUAGGACUCAUAAUCUUCCAUAAAAACACAGAAAACAACACAUUUACUCUCAUGGCAAAACCCUAGACUCUUCAUCAUUUUGCAAAAUAGACCCCUCAUAUGAAAGCUCAUGCUUUAGGGGUUCCAAAAAUGUAAAAAUCAUCAAGCAAAGACAUUAAAAUCACUUACAAGCAAGGGAAAUAUGUUGCUGAAAUUUUCCAGCUUCAAAUCCCUUUCUUUGCUGCAUAUUUCAGUGAAGGAGAAGAGAAAAAUGAUAGCUUUUUCUUUUUGAUUUGUUAAUAAUAAAACUAGUCAAAAUUAGUGACCAAAUUUCACCUAAUUUUGACUUUUCAACAAUUUUGUCUCCCAUGGCCGGCAAUCACACUUUCAAUGGCCUAAUUUCACUUUAAAUACCCCCAAUUUAAGAUACAAGGCAAUUUAACACCUUUAGGUAUUAAAACAUAACUUUUACCUUUUACGCGAUUUAGUCCUUUUUCGAAAUUAGACUAGAAAUUGCUAAAAUUAACUUACCAAAAUUUACAUGCACUUAUAAAAUUAUAUUAUAACUCAUAAAAUAAUACUAAAAUAAUUUUAUCUGGCCUCGAAAUAGUGGUCCCGAAACCACUGUUCCGACUAGGCCCAAAAUCGGGCUGUUACACCGUCAGAGAUAUUAUCACACUGUCAAGCUAACGCUAUUGGUGUAGUGAUUUCAAGUACUUUGAGCCUAUGGCAUGUAUAGGAGUUUAAAUAUUAGAGUAUGUGAUAUGGCUUUAACCAUAUGUGUUGGCCUAUUUUGAUUAUGGGGCUGUAAAUCUAUUUUAAUUAUGCAUGCAUGUGUUAUGGUAUUAUGUGAUGAGUUUAUAAUGAUUAUAGUAUGAAUGUGGUAAAGAUGUGAGUAAAAUCUAUGAUAUCUAUUGCAUGUGAAAUUGCCAUAAUCAUGACAUGUUAGGAAUGUUUAAGUACCUAAUUUUGCCAUGUUGUAUGUUAUUGUAUAAGUAUGCGUGUAUCUAUUGUGAGUGUGACAAAAUAGCUUGGAAAAUAGCCUUGUAUUUGUCCAGGUUUUUGGACACGGGUUUGGGACACGGGCGUGUCCCUAGCACACGGGCAUGUGCUCUAUACCCACACGGGCAUAUGAAGCUUGAUGCAAGAGAUUUUCUAAGUUUUUCAUGAGUUCUCGGUUGGGUCCCGAACCACUCCGAAUGUAUGUUUUGGGCCUCGUAAGCCCGUAUAUGGGACAGAUUGUAUGUGAAAAUAAAAGUUUUUAAUUAUUUGAGAUUUCAUGGCCCUGUUUAGUAUGAAAGUGUUAGUAAAAGUCAGGUAGCACCUCGAACCUCGUCCCGGCGUCUGAUGCGGGCGAGGGGUGUUACAUGGGGGAAGCCAUGGCUAGGGUUUUCAAGCUUUCCAAGCUCAAUAUGUCGAAGAUGUUAGCUCGAGUUGGAGGUCGCCGGAGGUUAAAUCACAUUAUCAAACUAUUGAUCAAUAUAUAAAGGUUUUAAAGUAUUUUAAGUCUUUGGCGUGUAUGGAGACUCGUUUAAUUGUUAUUAAGUUGCUAGGAAUUGGCUUAAAAUGCUGACCUAUGUUAUUUGAAGGUCUCUAUUGUAUAAAGUCAUUUAAUGUAGAUAGUCUUGAUUAUGUUAUUAAUUAAAUGAUGCAAUUUAUGAAUGUGCAUACUUGCCU
rnacentral:lncRNA from 1 species